GAGGAAUAUUGGUCAAUGGGCGCAGGCCUGAACCAGCCAAGUAGCGUGAAGGAUGACUGCCCUAUGGGUUGUAAACUUCUUUUAUAUGGGAAUAAAGUUUUCCACGUGUGGAAUUUUGUAUGUACCAUAUGAAUAAGGAUCGGCUAACUCC
rnacentral:rRNA from 1 species